UGGCGCCCAACGUGGGGCCAGAGAACGGGGGAUCCAGUGAAGGACGCUGCUCAGGGGCCCUAAGAUUAAGAUUGAGGAACAAAGAGCACACUCGACACGGGAGAGGCUUGCAAUUGACGUGGACCUGCCGUCUUUUUGCACCUCGGUAAGUUGAGCAGCGAUUAUGGGACAGGGCAUUAAUCAGCACGAAUUGUUUGUGCAAGGUCUCAAGAAGACAUUACAGGCACGAGGGGUAAAGGUUACAGUCAAACAAUUGCUGAAAUUUUUUGAUUUUAUUAAACAUCUCUGUCCCU
rfam:Heterocephalus glaber contig226880, whole genome shotgun sequence.